rnacentral:rRNA from 1 species
UACGUACGAGGCGAGCGUUAUCCGGAAUUACUGGGCGUAAAGCGCGCGCAGGUGGUGGACUAAGUUGGACGUGAAAUCUCCCGGCCUAACUGGGAGGGGUCGUUCAAAACUGGUUGACUUGAGGACUGCAGAGGUGGGUGGAAUUCCUGGUGUAGUGGUGAAAUGCGUAGAGAUCAGGAGGAACACCGGUGGCGAAGGCGGCCCACUGGGCAGUCACUGACGCUGAGGCGCGAAAGCUCGGGGAGCGAACGGG